AGAGUUUGAUCAUGGCUCAGGACGAACGCUGGCGGCGUGCCUAAUACAUGCAAGUCGAGCGGACUUAAAAAGCUUGCUUUUUAAGUUAGCGGCGGACGGGUGAGUAACACGUGGGCAACCUGCCUGUAAGACUGGGAUAACUUCGGGAAACCGGAGCUAAUACCGGAUAAUCCUUUUCUACUCAUGUAUAAAAGCUGAAAGACGGUUUACGCUGUCACUUACAGAUGGGCCCGCGGCGCAUUAGCUAGUUGGUGAGGUAACGGCUCACCAUGGCGACGAUGCGUAUCCGACCUGAUAGGGUGAUCUGGACACUGGGACUGAAACACGGCCCAGACUCCU
rnacentral:rRNA from 1 species